AUUGAACGCUGGCGGCAGGCCUAACACAUGCAAGUCGAACGAGUGGCGGACGGGUGAGUAAUGUCUGGGGAACUGCCUGAUGGAGGGGGAUAACUACUGGAAACGGUAGCUAAUACCGCAUACCAUCAGAUGUGCCCAGAUGGGAUUAGCUUGUUGGUGGGGUAACGGCUCACCAAGGCGACGAUCCCUAGCUGGUCUGAGAGGAUGACCAGCCACAAUGGAACUGAGACACGGUCCAGACUCCGACGGGAGGCAGCAGUGGGGAAUAUUUGACAAUGGGCGCAAGCCUUAUGCAGGCAUGCCGCGGUGAAUAAGAAGGCCUUCGGGUUGGAAAGUUCUUUCAGCGGGGAGGCGUUACCCGCAGAAGAAGCACCGGCUAACUCCGUUCCAGCAGCCGCGGUAAUUC
rnacentral:rRNA from 1 species